rnacentral:rRNA from 1 species
UACGUAGGUGGCGAGCGUUGUCCGGAAUUACUGGGCGUAAAGAGUGUGUAGGCGGUGUUCUAAGUUUGGUGUGAAAUCUCCCGGCUCAACUGGGAGGGUGCGCCGAAAACUGGAAUGCUAGAGUAUGGGAGAGGUAAGCGGAAUUCCUGGUGUAGCGGUGAAAUGCGUAGAUAUCAGGAGGAACACCUGUGGUGUAGACAGCUUACUGGACCAUCACUGACGCUGAGACACGAAGGCGUGGGUAGCAAACAGG